CAGCAAUUACUGACAUGACAAGAGGACACAGUCUUAAGCUGUGCCAGGGGGAGUAUGAGGCUGGACAUUAGGAGAAAGUUCUUCACAGAAAGGGUGAUUAGAUACUGGAAU